GCCUCGGUAGCGUAGUGGUCAAGACGCUCGCCUGGUAAACAGGAGGGCGUUGGUUCGAUCCCAGCCGAGGCA
rnacentral:tRNA from 1 species